rnacentral:lncRNA from 1 species
GAAAUCACGUUAGAAAUCACGUUAGAAAUCAAGAAAUCGCAUUAUAAAUCAACAGAAAUCCGUUUAGAAAUCAACAGAAAUCAGAUUAGAAAUCAAGAAAUCAGGUUCGAAAUCGCGUGAUUUCGAAAUCUCGUACGCUUCAUGUGGUCGUGUCGAACCCCUCGGACUGUUGUUUGCUGAUGGCCAAAUCACGACAGCGGACAUCAAUUAUUCAAAAUAUGUUCUUAUAGCUUCACGUUUACGAUACGAAACACGUUUUAAUGUAAGAUUAUUUAUUUUUUGUAUAUGUAGGUUCUAGUUGAAAGUGACAGCGACAAUGAAAAAAGUGCAAACAACAUUGAAAUAUCCAGUUCACUACUAGCUCAAAUCCUGCGACAUAUCACUUGCUAGUAGCCCAGUCUAGUUUAACUUUUCCCAAUCAAGAAUCAUCUCCUGAAUCGGGCAUACUGGCAACACUGGUUCAUUUGAUAAUGUAAGUUUUUAAACUGGUAUUUUAGAUUAUAGCCUCGGUCAAAUGAGGAUGGAAGUCAUGCAUGAAUUGCUUAUAAAUACACAAAGGACAUUUCAAGUUCCACAUGAACAAAAUAUUAUUAAAGCUUUGAUGAGUGUUCCAACUAUGUUUCAACCUAAUUAAAAUACUCUCAUCCUCGCUUGAUCCAUAAUUAUUUGUUGAUUUUAUUCGAUACUAAAUAGUGAAACAUCGAAUCCAGAUAAAAUCUUAUGCAGAACCCACUGUAAUUCCGGGCUGUAAUGAUAUAAUUAUAUAAAAGUCGUUUCAGUAGCAGCAAAAGCCAAACUAAACACCAACUAGGAUUAAUAGGUUUAGCUUUUAGGCCGAGAAUAAUACACGAUUGACAAUUUUGUGGCUGAUUGAUUAAUUAAUUAAUAGUAUACUGUAUAUUGAUGUUGUUGUUGUAUACAGGACAUCUGACUUACAUGUCAAAUUAAUAGUCGAAUCAAUGAUUAUAUUGAGUAUGGCAGAUUUGACAUUUGAAACAUUGUUGAUGUUAAUAAGCCAAUGAGUCGCAUUGCGCCCUGAUGCGCACUAAGUAUUUAUUAUUUUACUCUGGUUAUCUAACGCUAGCCAAUUUUACUCACCAAGGGGAGAGCACUGGCGGUUAAUGUGUUAACUAGCCUAUCUGCCCAUGUUUACAGUUAACCCAUUGAGUCGCAUUGUCCCCUAAUGCGCCCUAAUUUAUUAUUUUACUCUGCCUAUCGCAGGACAAUUUUACUCAUUAAGGGCAGAGCGCUGGCGCUUAAUGUGUUAACUGGCCUAUCUGCCCAUGUGUCUAGUUAACCCAUUGAAUCGCAUUGCGCCCUAAUUUAUUAUUUUACUCUUUCUACUGCCAGACAAUUUCACUCAUUAAGGGGAGACCACCAGUACUUAAUUGGUUAACUGGCCUAUCUGCCCAUGUGUGUUGUUAACACAUUGAGUCGCAUUGUGCCCUAAUUUAUUAUUUUACUCUGUCUAACACCAGAUGAUUUUACUCGUCAAGGUAAGGGCGCUGGUGCUUAAUGGGUUAACUGGCCUAUUUGCCCAUGUUUAUAGUUAACGCAUUGCGGCCUACUUUAUUUUUUUUAGUCUGUCUCGGGAGGAGAACGCUAGUGCUUAAUGGGGUUAAUAUUGAAAAUAUAGAUCAACAUUUGUCAAAACUCAUGACUUGUGCAAUCAUUUCUGUAAUAAUUAAGAUAUUAAAAUACCAAAUAUAAUGCCUUAUGGCUUAUUUCAAAUAGGGAGAUGCUAUGUGACUAUAUCCAUUGAAACGUAGUGGAUUUGUUGUAGCUACAUCAAAUAAAUGCUAGCCAAAAACAUAUUCAAGUCAAUCGAAGAGAAUGUAGUAUUGCACUUUACAUAAAAUUCCCUAGUUAUUGUACAUUAAUGCAUUUGAAAUGGAAAUAUAUUGUUUUAAUUUUAUUUCUAUGGUUUGUACUAUGAUAUACAUGGGCUAUACACUCUUUGGGAACCUGCAGGGCUGUUGCCAGAGCAUUUCUAUGAUCUGGAACUUCAGUCCUAAACACGAUGUGUGGGUGCGAAGAUGUUGUGUAGGAACAGAACUGUACAGAUUAGAAAUAUGAUUACUGAUAUUUUCCAAAGAAAAACUAUUAAUAUACAGAAGAGGAAAGAAAGAGGCAAUAAAUAGCCCAAAGUAUCUGUUGUACAUUUGAAAUUUAAAAAUGGUAGGCUUAUUAAGGAUGAGAUACAGAGAAAAACAGUAAUGCAGAACUACAUUCUCUUAAAUUGUCAAAAUUCAACGCUACCAAUCUUGGUCUCAUUUCAAACUUGAAUAACGAAAAGUCUAAAAAUAUAAAAACUAUAAGAACAGAUCAGCUAAGUCCAGUUAUAAAAUUAAAUGAUGAAGGAAAGCUGUCAUUUUAGGAAAGUGUUGUUUUGGGGUGUGUAAACCCAUGAGGUUACAUGUUUCGGGUAAAUCUGUGCUUGCUGCAGCAAAAAUUUAUUAAUCGUUUGUGAUAUAAUUCACAACAUGUCUAUUUUAACCUGUGGGUUGCCAAACUUCUUAAAUAUGGAAUUUGUUUUGUCUGACCAAGAUAUAAUGAAUACCACUAGUGACAUGAGUAUGUCCAAUUAAUAUUUAACUAGAAAUAAAUGCAUGCAGCAACCCCUAGCCUAUAUUUUCCAAACAUUGAUUUAACAUGAACUAUUAGCAAUUGGCCAGCACUGAACAAAGGCUCACGUUGUGUCAAGUGUUUUCAAGGCAACAUAAUGUCACAUUAUAUUUUAAAUUUUUUUGAGUAAUUUUGCAAGUGUUCAUACCACAGAAUCUACCAUACAUAAUUUUAGACAAAUAGAUAGGUGAAGUAAUUCAAACAAAAUGAUUUUGAACUUUAUUACUCUACUCUGUCGAACGCCUAUUCUACUCGUAAAGGGGAGAGCCCUGGUGCUUAAUGGGUUAAAUAAGAUUGUAUAGUUAUAUGUAUGUCAUGUAUUAUGUUUUUAUGCAGUCUCCCUGAAUCACUUGUACCAGGCUAUGGAAAUUCAUGUUUCCAAUUUUGUAUUUAUUUUUAUUAUGAUACAGUAUUCUGUAAAUUUGAAUAAUAUUUGUGUGCUUAUAGUGUGCUUAUUUUUAGGAGAGUUUGUUGAGAGGCAGAGGCCUACUCUGGGGCGGUAAAUCGCCUUAAAUCGCCUAAAAUCGCCCAAAAUCGCAUUAACUCGCCAACAUGCAUUCUGUUUGAUAUAUUCAGUCUACGUACACAAGCUUAUCAAUUGCUGCUAUUUUGCUGGCAAAUCAUGUAAUCCAGGUGCUUUGCAGUCAAAAGUAAUCCAACAUGGAUAGAUCAAAUAAGUGGAUUAUGCUGACAAUAUUUAGUCACUCGAUAGGCUCCGGUCAUUAAUAAACACAGAACUUUUUUUUGCUUUAUGCAGACUUUACAAUAAUUAGGAAAUCUGGGAUAUAAAAGACCCAUAUAUUCCAUUACACUACCAGCAACAAAACUGAGUUACUAGUUAAUUUCAUUAUUGUUGUAAAAUGUGGAGGCUGGGCUACAAUUUAUAUGGACUAUGGGGGCUGGGCUACAAAUUAAUCUAUAAUAUACAUGGUUUCUCAAAGCCUAAUUGCUGUUAGAACAACAGUAGGAGACUAUGAUAAUGAGAGUUAAUGAGUACGAGUAUAUAAUAAGGUCAUCCUGCAAUUUGUGCACUGUUGCAUGUAGAUCGAGCACUGCAUUGUAUACAAUGGUUGUACUUCGACAUGUGCACGGUUAUACUCUAGCUCUUAGCUAUAAUUAUACUGGCUAUCAAACGAAAAAAAAUACGUGAGGUUAUGAGCGAGAUUUGCAAGUUUUGCAACUCUCAUCUAUUAAAUUUUCCAGACCUGUAUAUAAAAUAAACAGUAAAACAAUGAUUACAUCGUACAUACCAUACAAUCUUUGUUGUUGUUUGUUUGCAGAACACUUGACAAAUUAUCAGGUAAAAGACUUAAAACCACGAUGUAGUGCGCGGUGUGCCAUUUGUUUAAUAUCAUUUUCUUUAGUAAUUUUUUAAAAUAAUUUAGAAUUCCUACCAUUUAUAUGCGAUAUACUUCAUGUAAAUUAAACUUUACGGCAUUACGCCGACAGUUUCCGAAUGCGUGACGAUACUGUUUCCGGAUAUAGAUAUCAAACAUAAUUUUAUAAAACAUGAGUGUUGAAACAGUUUAAAUAAAAUGCUAGCUAAAUAAAGAAGUGUUAACAAGUUACAAAACAAGAAAAUUUCACUUACAAGGGUGACAAGGUAAUUUGUAGGAUUAUAGCUUAUUGUGACUGUAUAAAUACAUUGUGCGUUUCUACUCCCUGUGGGCUGUGGUUCUUUUGGAAAUCAAAUAUCAAUUAUAUUUUGCAAUUAAUAAUAUUAAAGUUUAAGACAUGUGUAGUUUAGUUAUAGGUUGGCAUAUUGCAAUUAUGUACCGUACAUGCCCCUUAAGUAGAGUAUAUUUAUUAACUGUUUACAAUAUUACCAUGAAUGACCACAUAACCCCAUAGGAUGAACUCCAAUGGCUUCUAAACAGACAAUGGAUGAGAAUAUUGGGUUAAAAUAAUUAUUAACCUAGCUUUAUAUAAAAUGUGCAUACAUGUUCUAAUAAUUGUAUUUUGCUUCAUACAGAAGAUAAUUCUCUUCCAUCCAAUUUCUUGAUGUGAACUGCAGCCCAUAUGGAAUAGGAAAGGAAAGAUGGCCCGCUUCACCACUGAUAAAUACCGAAAUUUCCAGUCGCGUGACUACACUUAGAUUAACUUGCGCGCGCAACUAACUUAUUUCGCAUAAUUAAUUUCAACUAUAAAUUAUUCCGGGAAGCAAUAAAAACUCUUAUCGCUGUAGCAAUAAGUUCCUAUAUGUGUGUGGAAACAUUACAUUAUUAUUCAGCUCAUUCCCCAUUGGGGCUUUUUAGUGACCGAUUACAUCAAGUAUUAGGAUACUUAUGUUAGUCUGGACUAUUUAUCUUUACAACAAUGAGAAUAUGAUAUUACUUUCCUAACCGUGUUUAUUCUAACCCACCCUGCCAAUUUUGGCCUGUGGGAGGAAACGGAGCAAAAAAAUAAAUUCAAUUACCUUGAAAACACCUAAAUUGCAAUCCCAAAAUUUAGAAUUUUCUCCUAAAUUACCUUAAAUCGCCUAAAAUCGCAUUAAAUCGCAGUGCUUGAAAGUCCCAGUUUUUCCUUAAAUCGCCUAAAAUCGCAUUAUAUCACGGCGAUCUAAGGCGAUUUACCGCCCCAGAGUAGGCCUACGCAGCAUAUAUUUUGAUAUUUCAAAAUAUUACUGUAUAUUGGUAUGUUAUACUUAAUGCUUUUGGAAGGGUUAUAGGGGUCAGGUGUGAUAUACUUUUUCAGGUAUUUUGUGUCUGAUGUAUGUAAGAGCUUUAUUAUUGGGUUUCUUGGUGAGACCUUACAUCUUAUGUGUCCUAUAACCCUCUGUAAUUGCGGAUUAUUGCAUACAUUCUAAUUGUAUUUUUUUGUAGGAGUCCAAAGAUGCAAAUGAUACAAUUUCAAACUUAUCACAACCCAUAUUGUGGCCGCUGGCAGCGAACUAGAAUACGAAUAGAAACUGUCAAUCAUACGUUAUCGAGAGAAAGGAUGAACGUUCCAUAACAAGCAACAGUUGUUUUGAUGCAAUUAUCGCCUUUUUGGCAAGUUUUUACAUCUUCAAUAUUGAGUACUGCCACACGAAGAGCAUCUUGUCUGCCUUGCAGACUAUAGUAGUGCAUGGCCAACACAGAAAAUGGCAUACAACUGCCAAUAGUGAGUUUAAGCAAGUGACGUUUUUGACAAC